UUAAACGGCCGCGGUAUCCUAACCGUGCAAAGGUAGCGUAAUCACUUGUCCCCUAAAUAGGGACUAGUAUGAAUGGUUAAAUGAGGAUAGACCUGUCUCUCAUGGAAAAUCAGUGAAACUGAACUCCCAGUACAAAUGCUGGGAUAUACACACAAGACGAGAAGACCCUGCGGAGCUUUUAAACAACCCUCAAACAAUAAAUUGAGCACGAGUUUUCAGUUGGGGCGACUUCGGAACAAAACCAAGCUUCCGAGCAUAAGAGACCAUCUCUUGCAACGGCUAACAAGCCAAAGCACUAAAAAAAUGACCCGGGUACAAAACCCGAUUAACGAACCAAGUUACCCCAGGGAUAACAGCGCUAUCUUCUUUUAGAGUCCAUAUCAACAAGUAAGGCUUACGACCUCGAUGUUGGAUCAGGACAC
rnacentral:rRNA from 1 species